rnacentral:rRNA from 1 species
UACAGAGGUUGCAAGCGUUGUUCGGAAUUACUGGGCGUAAAGGGCGUGUAGGCGGUCGAAUAUGUCCGAUGUGAAAGCCCUCGGCUUAACCGGGGAAGUGCAUUGGAAACUAUUUGACUGGAGUGCAGAAGAGGAUAGCAGAAUUCCUAGAGUAGAGGUGAAAUUCGUAGAUACUAGGAGGAAUACCUGAGGCGAAGGCGGCUAUCUGGUCUGUAACUGACGCUGAAACGCGAAAGCAUGGGGAGCAAACAGG